AUCGCUUCUCGGCCUAUCGGCUAAGAUCAAGUGUAGUAUCUGUUCUUAUCAGCUUAAUAUCUGAUACGGCCCUGUAAUGGGUCUUACGAUAUUAAUCUUAUUUUUGUGAGGCGGUGCUAGGACGGGGCUUGCCCCUCCAGUGCCACGGGUUGUCCCGGUAUUGCACUGCAAUCGGGCACAGCCCACUUUUC